UGAGCUCAUCUAGUGAUGAGUAUAGGCU
rnacentral:piRNA from 1 species